GCCAACAAAGAGCAGCUCAGCCUCCGAGCAUCUGCCUUGCAUGCAGAAGGUCUCAGGUUCAAUCUCUGGUGUCUCCAGGCA